rnacentral:tRNA from 1 species
GCCUCGUUGGCUUAUUUGGUAGUGCGUCUGCCUUGUAAGCGCUAGGCCGCGGGUUCGAUUCCCGCCCGGGGCG